rnacentral:misc_RNA from 1 species
CGUAGGUGAACCUGCGGAAGGAUCAUUAACAAAUCCUAGCCGUUGUUGUCUCCGUGCGGCAGCGGUGAAAUACCGUGCACCGGGAGCCGAAGAUGGGAGAAAGUCUCGCUUGAUUCGUUGGAGGUGUGCUGCCGGCAUUGAAUUGGGUGCUGCACUUAAAUCGUGGGGAAUCAGUCGCACACUGCCCCCGAGCCUCGAAUUAAGCUCUCCUAUCUUUGGUUUUUUUUUGAAACUUUUAAGAAACUUUAUGGUUUGGUGGUGACUUGCGUUGGUCGGAAAAAUUUUGACAACUUCUGACGGUGGAUCUCUUGGCUCGUGCAUCGAUGAAGAACGCAGCAAGCUGCGAUACAUAGUGUGAAUUGCAGAAUUCAGUGAAUCAUCGAGUCUUUGAACGCAAAUGGCGCUCCCGGGGUCCCCUCGGGAGCAGGUCUGUCCGAGCGUCCGCCAAUUAACUGUGUUGUCAUACCGCCGGUGUGUGACAAGAGUGAGGAGCUGUCGUGUGUGGCACGCACGGCACUCCUUGAAGAACACGUGUUCCACGCAGUGUGGCCCGUGCGACGGUGCGCCGGCAGGACGAUCGUCACGACGGCAUCGCGAUGAGUCUCGUGCGAUUGUGUCCUGGCGACGCCGCGMCGCCGGCUCGAUGUCUGGAACUGUUGGGACGUU